rnacentral:rRNA from 1 species
UCGGAUUGUACUCUGNACCCGAGUACAUGAAGCUGGAAUCGCUAGUAAUCGCGAAUCAGAAUGUCGCGGUGAAUACGUUCCCGGGUCUUGUACACACCGCCCGUCACACCAUGGGAGAUGGAUAUGCCCAAAGUCAGUGACCUAACCGCAAGGGAGGAAACCGUCGAAGGUGGGAUCGAUGAUUGGGGUGAAGUCGUAACAAGGUAGC